rnacentral:sRNA from 1 species
GCUGGGCGUGGUGGUGCACGCCUGUAAUCCCAGCAGCUUGGGAGGCUGAGGCAGGAGGAUGGCAAGUUCAAAGCCAGCCUCAG